GAUGAACGCUGGCGGCGUGCCUAAUACAUGCAAGUCGAGCGAACGGACGAGAAGCUUGCUUCUCUGAUGUUAGCGGCAGACGGGUGAGUAACACGUGGAUAACCUACCUAUAAGACUGGGAUAACUUCGGGAAACCGUAGCUAAUACCGGAUAAUAUUUUGAACCGCAUGGUUCAAAAGUGAAAGACGGUCUUGCUGUCACUUAUAGAUGGAUCCGCGCUGCAUUAGCUAGUUGGUAAGGUAACGGCUUACCAAGGCAACGAUGCAUAGCCGACCUGAGAGGGUGAUCGGCCACACUGGAACUGGGACACGGCCCAGACUCCUACGGGAGGCAGCAGUAGGGAAUCUUCCGCAAUGGGCGAAAGCCUGACGGAGCAACGCCGCGUGAGUGAUGAAGGUCUUCGGAUCGUAAAACUCUGUUAUUAGGGAAGAACAUAUGUGUAAGUAACUGUGCACAUCUUGACGGUACCUAAUCAGAAAGCCACGGCUAACUACGUG
rnacentral:rRNA from 1 species